AAAAGUGAAAGACGGUCUUGCUGUCACUUAUAGAUGGAUCCGCGCUGCAUUAGCUAGUUGGUAAGGUAACGGCUUACCAAGGCAACGAUGCAUAGCCGACCUGAGAGGGUGAUCGGCCACACUGGAACUGAGACACGGUCCAGACUCCUACGGGAGGCAGCAGUAGGGAAUCUUCCGCAAUGGGCGAAAGCCUGACGGAGCAACGCCGCGUGAGUGAUGAAGGUCUUCGGAUCGUAAAACUCUGUUAUUAGGGAAGAACAUAUGUGUAAGUAACUGUGCACAUCUUGACGGUACCUAAUCAGAAAGCCACGGCUAACUACGUGCCAGCAGCCGCGGUAAUACGUAGGUGGCAAGCGUUAUCCGGAAUUAUUGGGCGUAAAGCGCGCGUAGGCGGUUUUUUAAGUCUGAUGUGAAAGCCCACGGCUCAACCGUGGAGGGUCAUUGGAAACUGGAAAACUUGAGUGCAGAAGAGGAAAGUGGAAUUCCAUGUGUAGCGGUGAAAUGCGCAGAGAUAUGGAGGAACACCAGUGGCGAAGGCGACUUUCUGGUCUGUAACUGACGCUGAUGUGCGAAAGCGUGGGGAUCAAACAGGAUUAGAUACCCUGGUAGUCCACGCCGUAAACGAUGAGUGCUAAGUGUUAGGGGGUUUCCGCCCCUUAGUGCUGCAGCUAACGC
rnacentral:rRNA from 1 species